rnacentral:rRNA from 1 species
AGAGUUUGAUCAUGGCUCAGAACGAACGCUGGCGGCGUGCUUAACACAUGCAAGUCGAACGCGAAAGUUUUCUUCGGAAGGCGAGUAGAGUGGCGCACGGGUGAGUAACGCGUAAGUAAUCUACCCCGGCAUCUGGAAUAACUCACCGAAAGGUGUGCUAAUACCGGAUACGUUGGUAACAAGAAAGGUGGCCUCUGCAUAUGCUACCGUGCUGGGAUGAGCUUGCGUACCAUUAGCUAGUUGGUAGGGUAAUGGCCUACCAAGGCAACGAUGGUUAGCGGGUCUGAGAGGAUGAUCCGCCACACUGGAACUGGAACACGGACCAGACUCCUACGGGAGGCAGCAGUGAGGAAUAUUGCGCAAUGGGGGCAACCCUGACGCAGCGACGCCGCGUGGAUGAUGAAGGCCUUCGGGUCGUAAAAUCCUGUCAGAUGGAAAGAAGUGUUAUGUGGUUAAUACCCAUGGGC